AGCUCAUAGAGUUCUGCCUGCCUGCGCCCCUGGAGUGUUGGGGUGAAAGGUGUGCACCACUACACCCAGCCUUGUGUCUUGUAAGGACACACACUCGUCACAGUGGAUUGGGGUCUACCCCUUGCUGUUACGAUCUGCUCUCCACUGAAGACAUCUGCAGCAGCCCUCUUUCCAAACAGGGCUGAAUUCUGAGAACCAGGAAUGUGACGCUAUCUCAGGCAGGCAUUGAUACCGAUGGACACCUGCAUGCACAUAGCCUCACGGGAACACAUGUGCUCAUGUACAAACGCACACACCAAACUUCUGAACAUGUCAGGUGGAAAAGGGUUUGCUGGUAUUGAUCAUAACCCCUGGAGUCAACAGUCAACCUAAACUUGGAAGCACCCGGUGACAGCACAGAGCACAGAGAUCAGCAUGGCUUCUGGAAGCAACAUGGAUCAUAGACAUCAGCAUGGCCUGCCCUAGUAGCACAGACUAAGGGCAUCAGCAUGGCCGCCUGCAGCAACAUGGACCACGGUCAUCAGCAUGGUCUCCCACGGCAGCACGUACCACCACAGAAGUCUUUUGAGGAGACUUAGCCAGAAAAAUGAAUCCAUUCUUCCUCUUGGAUAUCUUGUUGCUGAGUCUGGGUGAUCAUGGAGUUGGGCAGUUUGUUAGGGGGCGGGGCCUGCGUGAGCUCCAGGCUGCUGUGUACCACCUUGCCUUGGUGCCGCCCUGCACCUUGGGCAAGACCAGCAUGCUUGCAGCCUGUAGGCCACACUGCUGCAGCCCCACGCUCUUCUCUUUCCACGCGGGGCGAGCAGCGCAAGUGGCGGCGGCAGCGGCAGCAGCAAUGGUGGAGGCGGUAGCUCCACUAUGGAUCCCAUGGCUCCUGAUGCACCCUUUCUUGAAGGGAAAGUGCAACAUGCAUACAGCCCAGUGCGUGGGAACCUUCAGGUCUGUUCUCCUACUGGGAUGGGCUAGAUGACCUCUAGGGUUCUCCCUAUCUCUGAAGGUCUAAGUGGCUGCUCCACCUCACCCACUAUGACAGGUGGCAGUCAUCCCUCACACCACUUCUGCCUCUGCAUGCUUGACAGUCCUGGUCCGUUCAGAGGAGACCUGUCUUCUGUGUGAAGAUUAUUUAGAGGAGGCAAAGGCAAAGCCAUCAUCAGAGAAGGCUGGGAAGAGGUCCAGUCAUGGCAGCCUUCAGCUGGGUCUAGUCCAUGGCUAUCCAGUGAACUGAAUGUACUCUUCUGGGAGACCUUGGCAAGGUCAGCAGAAGAGUCACCCAGUUGAGCUCAGCUCUAAUUGCAGAAUCAUGAGCAGAAUGAAAAAGCUUUCGUCUUAUGCCACUUAGUUCCAGGACAGCUUUCACACUGGUCUAGAAAGACAAAAAACAACUGCAAUCAUAAUUCUUGAAAACAGAGGCUGGCAAAGGUUUCAGACUAAGUCAAGAUCCUGGCCCUCUUCCAUAGGGACGUGAUGAAGCAUGGUGGUGCCAACCUAUAUCUGUAUGAACCAGUUUGUUUUGUAGCUUUGAUGAGCAGGCCCUGCAGGCUGCGCUGCUGGGUCUCUCAUUUGUAAAUCUCCCCAUCUAUAACCACCAUCUCCAACCACCUUCUUUGAUGGUCUCCCACACUCUGGGUCCCCAUCUAUCUGCUCUAAGUUACUUGCUCUAGGGUCAAACACCAUGCACCUGAGAGCAGCCCUGCGUCUUGGAGACUGCUGCAGCCAUCGAAACCUGCAGGGCAAUGGAAACUUUCACUCUCGUUCUUACCUGCACCCUCUGUGCCAUGACCAACUUGUCCUUCCCUUUGUGGCCCUUGCCCCCGCUAGCCUGGUUUUCUCCCUUCUUUUAGGAUCUGAGAGUGUAACAAACCUUUUCCAGUGGUGUGCCAUACCUAAAUAACAAUGACAUGCAUUUUAAAACAGUGAUCUGUGAGUAUAAAUGAGGGGACAAAUCCCACAGCCAGUACCCCUCUGGCAAGUGAAUAAGAUGGACAAGGUAGAAGUGGCCGACAAGGACAGGAUGUCACCUGUGUCACCCAGAGGGACUCUCCUCCCCACCACCAGCCUUUCAUCGUGUGCCCUAAUUUCUAAGGAGUUACAUAUUGUUCCACUGAAAAUAAGUACUGUGUCUGAAUGUUCCCCCAUUAAUUUGCAUGAUGGCUCUAGGAAAUGAUUUGUUGUCUCCUUUAUACAGAAGUGGAAAUCAAGGGUUAGGAUAAAUAAAAUGCUGCAAGCAGAAGGAGACGCCAGCUUUUUUUUUUUUUUUGCUGUAAUUCCCCAAACAGAAUGCUUUUCGUAAAUCGUCCCAAUGAUUUUUGGAAGUUCCAUGGUUUGCCAACAUUUCCUAUCUGUGUAUGUGUUAUGUCAGACCUCAGCAUGUCUUCUGAGUUAAAAUUUGAACAAUGAGAUUUACAUACUAAAACAAAUUAAUUACAUUGA